UACGUAGGUGGCAAGCGUUAUCCGGAAUUAUUGGGCGUAAAGCGCGCGCAGGUGGUUUCUUAAGUCUGAUGUGAAAGCCCACGGCUCAACCGUGGAGGGUCAUUGGAAACUGGGGAACUUGAGUGCAGGAGAGAAGAGUGGAAUUCCACGUGUAGCGGUGAGAUGCGUAGAGAUGUGGAGGAACACCAGUGGCGAAGGCGACUCUUUGGCCUGUAACUGACACUGAGGCGCGAAAGCGUGGGGAGCAAACGGG
rnacentral:rRNA from 1 species